UUUAGGGAUGGCAGUUUCCCAACAGUCAGAUGCACCUGUUCUACUGAGAUUUUUUUCAUUUAUUAUUUCAAAUUCAAGAGCUUAUGAAAAUAAGUUCGUAUACUGUCAGGCUCAAAACGAGGUUGGAGUCUUCUGCUGACAUCAAGGAAGCUGUGUCAGGCUAACUUGUUGGCUUAAAGAAUGCAGACUGGAUGGCUGGAACAUGGGCAACUAACGGGGCCAUGAAGCAAAAGCCACAUGUUGAGGAUGGCAGAGGUAAAAAAAAAAAAUCAAGAGACUUUGGAAUCCCAACAGCACACAGUGCCAUGCCUGCAUAGCUUUUCCUGAAUCCAGACUUCCAGAACAAGAGAGAAAAAUGAACUUCAAUUGCUUUUAGCUACUGUUAUUUUAAACUGUGGGCUACUCUAAGCUGAGCCAUACUGUAAAGGUUACAAUGGCAAAGGAUCAGGCCUCUAUUUCAAACAUUGGUUCCUAGGAUGUUGGCAGAAUAAACAUAAAUGCAGUAAGAAUAUCAUAACUAGCAUACGACUUCGGAAGGAGAAGAGAAAUACUCCGUCAUAAUUUCUGAAGUCCUAGCAGGACUCUGAGGCUUCUAUCACUGUUUACAGAAAUCUAAUAUCCUGCUGAUAUCAUGACAGAAGAAGUUGAAAAGGCCUCUUUUGAAGCUGUCUUCCAGAAUGUAGGAAGUGAAUCACACUUCUCCAUUCAUUAAACAGGUUGCAUUAACUUCCUAGAAGACCAGAAAAUUAAUACAGAAUAGAGGAGCCUACCUCCCAGUGAAAGGACAUUUAAUUAGUAGAUCUAUGAGAGUUACUUUCCUAGCUAGAGUUUUUCAAUUUGGAACUUUUCUGAGCAGCUAUUACACAAUCUUAACAAGAAUGUACAGAAAAUCAAUAAACUGAAAAGUUCAAUGUAGUAUAAUAUGACUAAACUUGGAAAUAUUGUGCAAUGCGGCAUUAUACUGAGCUAAUCCUAGCAGAUUCUUUUCUUGUUACUACAAUCCCUCCUAAUGCAUUAUAGUCCUCAGGUAAUGUACUUUUACUUUAAGGCAAAGUCAUUUCUGUGCAGCAGGGAGUGAUCCCUUGAGGAAAUUUGAUCUCAAGUCUUUUUUUUUUUUAUUUAAGGCAAAAUGAAUGUCAGGUAAAAUGUCUAGAUAACCCCUUGAAAACUCAGAACUCAUGCACACUGAAUAAUUGCUAUGUGAAGUAAAGAAUGAGUAAAUGCAUGAAAUAGCAAAUACAGCAGGAUUGUUUUCAGAUCAGUAAACUGUGCAUAGGUUAUGCAAUGCUAGGACUAAGACCAUUCUGGAGCGCAGGAGUGUAUGAUUUUUCCCAUGGAUUUGUGAAGGAGAGAUCAGCUUUUAAGAUUUCUUUUAGUGGGGAGGGGAGUUCUUUUUAUUCUUUGAAUUUGGGAGUUGGAUCUCAAGAUCAUCCUGUAAUAGUCAAUGGGUCCUAAAUCCAAUGGCAUGUGUCCUUUUAAAAGACUCACAAAGUAGGCCAACCAAAGAGAAAGAAGCAGUGUAACUAUGGAGGCAGAGAUUGGAGUGAUGUAGCCACAAGCUGAGGAAUGCCAGCCACCACCAUUAGCUGGAAGAGGCAAGGAAUGAAAGACAAUUUCCCCUAGAACCUCUGGAGAGAGUGUGCCCCUGCUGACCCCUGCAGUUUGGACUUCUGGCCUCCAGAACUCUGAGAGAAUACAUUUCUCUUGCAUUCAGCAACAGGUUUGUCAUCAUCUGUUCUGGAAGUCACAGAAAUCUAAUCCACCCAUGACACCCAUGAAGUAGAUACCAUCUUUAUUCACAUUUUACAGACAAGGAAACAAAAGGAGAGAUCAGCUCUUAAGAUUUUUUUUGAGGGGGAUGGAGUUCAUUUUAUUCUUUGAAUUUUGGAGUUGUUGAAUUUAACCUGCCUCUAAAACUGGCAUGCUUGUCAAUUUCAUCCAUGUGUGACUUUAUGAAUAACUGGAAAUUCAAAUGCUCUCAGUUGUGGAUGAUUUCUUUCUUCUUUCUCAUCUAUCAAUAACAACCCCCCAAAAUGUUAAGAAAAUCUUGAAGUAUUCUAUUCAAAAUGUUCAUCUGUUUGUAAAUUAGUGUAGCCAUGCCAUUGGCUAGAUCUCAAGAUCGUCCAGGCCCACUCAGUGUGAUGCCCCUUGAUACAG
rnacentral:lncRNA from 1 species